AAGUCGUAACAAGGUUGCCGUAGGUGAACCUGCGGCAGGAUCAUUACUGAUCAAAAAGUCGAAUUUUUCCCUUCACGGGGAGAGUUUCGCAAUUUGCUUGGGUGAGAAAAACCGUCGUCUCUCACGUACGCGGGUUUUCUCUCUGUGGGGAAAGUUUUGUCUCUCUUUACGUACGAAACUUUUCCCCCAACCAGGCACCCACAACAAACCAAAAAAAUAAAAAAAUAUCGCACCUUCGGUGGAUCACUCGGCUGGUG
rnacentral:misc_RNA from 1 species